rnacentral:rRNA from 1 species
UACGUAGGGGGCAAGCGUUGUCCGGAAUUACUGGGCGUAAAGCGUGCGCAGGCGGCUUUGCAAGACAGAUGUGAAAUCCCCGGGCUCAACCUGGGAAUUGCGCUUGUGACUGCAAAGCUGGAGUGCGGCAGAGGGGGAUGGAAUUCCGCGUGUAGCAGUGAAAUGCGUAGAUAUGCGGAGGAACACCGAUGGCGAAGGCAAUCCCCUGGGCCUGCACUGACGCUCAUGCACGAAAGCGUGGGGAGCAAACAGG